AUUCAUAUGAAUAGUCCCAAAUAGGAUGAAACGUGCUUCCUGAAC
rnacentral:hammerhead_ribozyme from 1 species